UAGGGAAUCUUCCACAAUGGGCGAAAGCCUGAUGGAGCAACGCCGCGUGUGUGAUGAAGGCUUUCGGUCGUAAAGCACUGUUGUAUGGGAAGAACAGCUAGAAUAGGAAAUGAUUUUAGUUUGACGGUACCAUACCGGAAAGGGACGGCUAAAUACGUGUCAG
rnacentral:rRNA from 1 species